AGAGUUCAAGAGUACGUGAAACCGUUCAGGGGUAAACGGGAGACAUCCUGAAUUCGAAAGGGACUGGAUUCAACUGCAACCGGUCGCCAGGCUGCCUGCCGUGAGAUGGUGCCGGCCGCCCGCGGCGAUUCACUUCGCUUGCGGUGUCGUAACCGGUGCGGACUCUGCGGUAUGCGUGGAAUCUGGAACACGGGGCAGUGCACUUCUUCCCUAGUAGAAACGUCGCGACCCGUUGGGUGCCGGUCUAAGGCCCGGGCAGGAGCCCGUGCGACCCACGGCGGUGUCAAGCCACCGUGAGCUCGCGCGGACGUCUGGUGACCCGGCCGGCUGCCCGACGGUAGGACCAGAGGAGUCGACCCGCUAAUUAUUUGACAAGCGUCCGGCCCUGCUGCGGCGUGCGCGAGCUCUGUCUCGCCGUCGUACGCAGGUGUCCUCGGACUGGGUCGAUACUCCCGUCCGCGGCGCCCACCUUCGGAUCGUCUCCCGCC
rnacentral:rRNA from 1 species